rnacentral:lncRNA from 1 species
CUCAAUGAGCGUGGCGAAACUUCGAUGCUUACGUGGCUCUGUGAAGUCAUUUUAAUGUGUAAAUAUUUAAGAAAAAAAUAAAAUGAAGUAAAAUAGAUUAAGUUUGGGUUAAAGUAAAAAACCCUUAUCUGAUUACGCCAUUUCUGGGUUUUUCGUUGUUUGUGAAACUGGUGAUUGCUACUGAUUCUUGUUGUGUUAUUUGGGGGUUAGGGUUUAAUUUGAUUUUGUGUUAAAUAUAGGUAUUUUCUUCGAUUGACGAUGAUCUUGUGAAUUUCUGGGUAUUUUGGGGGUUAGGGUUUAAGAAUCCUAUUGCAAUUUCUGGGUUUAACAAUCUGGUGAAACUGAUCUUGUAAUCACUAUGGCGUGGUGAUUCAUUGAAGGUUAAAUUUCAAGAGCGUACGUACAUGAGGUAAGUGUUGCUAACCCUAGCCUACUUACUCGAUGUUCUUGUUGUUGGAUUUGGGGGUUAAGGUUUAAGGUAGAAAUAGAGGAUGGAGUGGAGGUGGAAAGUGAUGGUGGAGAGGAAGUGGAUGGUGGAGUGGAGGUGGACAAAGAUGAUGGACUGAAGGUGGAAACUAAUGGUGGAGUAGAGGUGGACAAAGAUGGUGGACUGGCGGUGGAAACUAAUGAUGGAAACUAAAUCAGAUAUCAAUCAUGUGUUUUUCGCUGAUAUCCAUUUGGGACCAAAGUACACAGUUUUAAAUUGAAAAAGGGACCACAUUGCACAUUUUUUGACCAAAGGGGAAACUAAAUUUAACAUUACAUAUAAACACUUGAACGUUAACAUUGAGCUUCACCUUAACAUUGUUUCUGCGUUUCUGCCUUGUGCAAUUUGCAAGUUGGUGCCCAUGGGUGCUACUUGCGAACUAGGGUUUAUGCGAUUUGGGAAGUGAUUAUGUAUGUUUACGGUUUGCUGCAGGUGUGAAUUGGGUUUUUAGGUGUCGCGAUUCUGUUUUUCUUGUUCAUAUUUGGGUUGGAAUUUCUGGUUUGCAGGUUAGGGAUUUUGAUUCAGUUCUUGCUUAAUGGUAGUGAGGCGCAACGCAUGGUGGAGAUUUUGCCCUAAUUACUGGCGACGCGAUUUAGGGUUUCAUGGUGGCUAAGGUUUGAUUUUUGGGUUUUUUGUUGUUUUUCUCUUGUUCGAAUUGUAGGUUUGUGUUGAUGAUGGUGACGGCGACAUGGUGGGUUGAGGGUUUGGUGGUGGCACGUUUCAUUCUGCAACAACGGUGACAACACAGAUUAGAACACCACUUCCACCACAAUGUUGAACUCAGAAAUGGCGAAAUCACUCUUAGAUAAGG